GAGAAACCGAACUUUUUCACUGGUUAUUAUCCGUAACUUAUACAGCCAGUUGAUUUAUCAAGAAACAGAUUACAUUUGCAAUUCUAAUCUUAUCGUCGCCUACUUAUUUCGCACUAUGUAAAUGAACGUAAUCCAGCACAGACCAGUUGAAAUUUCAAUGAAAUACGCCAGGAUACCACGGAGUUAUGCGAAGCUGACAUGGCGCGCGCGAGGCGCGAAGCGCGAGUGAUAACGCCAGGUAGAUUGUCUUUCCAAUUUUACCGUUUUCUAACAGUCAGCUUGUGGUCUAGGGGUACGAAUCACCACCGUAGAUCCGACAUGUGGAUACAAACGGGUAUUCGAGACUACACGCUGAUUUUCGUUUUUUUCCGGGGGACUUUUUCGGUCAAAGGUUGACCUGUAUCGAUGAGCAAGAAGUUCCGCUAAACAGUUGAAUUUUAAUUCGCUUUUUAGGACGAAUAUUCAUAAGCGUGACGUCAAAAGGCCUUGAUCAGUAAUAAAAAGGUGCAUCAGCGAUAACGUUAUCGAUACUGUCGUUGCAAUUCGAUAUAACGGGUGUUUCGUGAAAUUCAACCGCAUGCUCCUUUUAUUCUUCCAAUGUGUAGAAAUGGAACUGGUCUUAUUUAAAUAUACGUGCUUACUAAUUAAUGUUUCCGUACUUGACGUAUUACGUGUCACUUGCACCGUCUUUGGCCGACGAAACCGUCGAAGUUUCCCCAUUGAAACGUUCUCAUCUCAGCGUACGUAAAGUAAGGGAUGAUAUGCAUCGUGGUUUACACGGAAAGUUCGUGUGGUAUAGAAUGGGUCAGAUGUAACUAUCCCAUUGUAACUAAUUAAUUGAAACUGUGGAUGAAACGAAAGGAAGUUACAUUAUUGGUUUUAUAUAUACUACCUACAUAGAAGUCGUAUUACAAUGAAAAAAAGACAUACAUUGAUCAUUUCUAUACUUCCUAAGUAGUCGUGAUGAUCGAAAUAUGUAUCUAUUUGUUCUUGCAGUUUCACGACGAUUAUACUUCUAGAAGUAAAUAUUUUACUUUGGACACCUUAUGCACAAGCAAUCUUUCUAUAAAAUCAUGAUUAGUUGACUUUGCCCUAUCAUAAUAUCGAAGCGAUUAUCUUCUGCACGAUAAGGGGGAUUAAAUCAAGCGUGAUUCAUGAAACGUGUCGAGAAGCCACGUGGUUGCAUGUUGCGGUUUGGUAUAAAAUGUAGAAUGUUAUUCUCUGGUUCAAAAUGAAAUUCAAUCAGAGGACGUAAUUACUUACAUAAGAAAAUCGUUCGCACCAGCUUCAUUCUUGUAUCAAGAUAAUAUCGACGGUGAUAUAUUAGUUCUUGAUAUUUAAAACAAUUGGUUUGACGCACUAGAUGUAUCUUUAAUUCCGACUUAUUUAAUAAAAUAUACAUGCUUGUAGGUAGCGUAAUAUAUGUAAAGUUUGAAAGGGAAGUUACUAUGCUAAAGUUUUAAUAAAGGAAAAUAUGUAUCUAAUAAAGUUCCGAAUUUAAGUUAAGAAUCUCGAGUUUAGAAUAAUAACCGAGUACUCGCUAUGUAUGUACUUUCAUAUUAUCUUGUAUUAUUAGAAAUUGAAUGCGUUUUCUAAUAUGAGCAUCCGAAGAAUUUAAUAUAAUAUGAGCGAUAUUUAACUUUAUAACUAUGUAUAUAUAGCGUUGCAUCUUAUGCUGCUUUUCACGUUAAAUUCCAAUAUAAUAGUAAAAAUAUUCUGAUUACUAAUCUAAUCCUCCAACAGCUAAUAUUAGGAAUAUUACGAAAAUUUACUAUAUUAUUGGCUCAUCAUACAACUCUCAAAAUGUGUUUUUAUUUUUUACAGUAUAUUUCGUUUCUUUAAAAUUGGAUAGAUUCGAUUUAUUAAAAUGUUAUAAUAUUAUAAUAUUAUCGAUUUUGCUUCUUGCAUAAAAAAUUUAAAUUUUAAAUGUCGUCAUAAAAAAGAAGUUCAAAGGAUUCAGGUUAAAAGACCAAAUAGCCCAUGCUAUCGGAUUUUCUCGUCCUCCUCAUUUUUCAUAGAGAAUUUGAUAUAAAUGCAGUCUAAUAUUAGCCAAAAAGGAAAACAGAACUUUGUCGUAUUAAAAUUUCACAUUUUGCUCUUUAUCAAAGAAUAAAACACACAAAUGAAUGUAUGGCGUUAAAAACGCAUUUCUUAUUCUAAUAAGGUUAGUUCUUAAAUUAAUGUUUAUUCAUUUGUCUCUGUUUAUUUGUCAACUUCGCUAAUUGUAUUUUGAUAUAAAUUGUAUCGUUUUAUUUUUAAAAUGUUAUGGAAGUCUUCGUAAAAAAUAAAGUUUUACGAUUAUAUUGUA